rnacentral:lncRNA from 1 species
CCGCAAGGACUUUUCCGACCUGGGGUAAAUGUACUGCCCACUCGGGGACCACCGGGUCAGGACUCCAGGAAGGCCAGGUCUUGGCGGUAAAGAGAGUUAGUUCCAUGGUGGGCGGAUGAAAUUGAGAGACGGCCUGAAAGACGCCCUGUGUCCCCUAAAGUAACUUCUCCAACCUGCAAACGGACGCAACAGCGACCCGCUUCUCAGAACAGCGGUGGCCCGAGCAAGACGGACCCAGAACUUUCGGAAGCGCCCCGCGGGGCUCGCGUCUCACUCACCUUGACCAGCCACACGCCGGUGUUCUGUUUGGCGCCCGUCAGAUCGAGUUCCCCGCGCUCCGCCAUGAGCUUGUCGCGUGAGGAGGCGUGCAGUGCGCGCACAAGCAGUGGUCCCGGCGCUGAAAGGCAGAGAGCGACAGUCCAGAGCCGGCCAAGGGAGUAAGUAGACCGCGAAAAGCCGGCGUCGCACACAGCCCGGGAACCAGGAACUUAGAUGAGAAGAACACGCCGCCGAAUGAAGAACUGCGCCUGCGCACGACUACGUCAGGACAGCGCGCCGAGAGGGACAAACUUCCUGCUCCGGCAAUUUCCUAGAUGGGCGUGACUCCCGGCAACGUGCAAUCUUGGGAUUCGAGUGCUGGGAAAGGAAGAGCCUAAUCCUGAACCGUGCGUUUACAGCAAAGGAUUCCACACCAAGCCCAUCCACCUGCUUGAAGACUCCAGGACCUUCCUCUUACCAUUUCAGAGCCUCUUUCAAACCAAUUCCUGUGCCUUAGAUGCCCUGCUUUCCCUGAUCUUUACACUGGCCCUGUCCUUUGGCAAACUUCUACUUAUAAACACAGACAAGUGGAAAUGAAAUAAAGACCACACAGAAAAGAGAGUCCCCC